GUUCAAUGAAUAAACAUGUCACCUGAUCAUCUUCAAAUGUCAUUUCCCUUAUGAAGGCUUGUUUCUAACUUCUUCUUCUUUUGUAUCGUGGUGUAAUCGUAUAUGAGUUGAAUUGAAAAUAUGAGUAAUGAAAUUUGUCAAGCAAUCAACUUAAAAAAAGGGAGCCAAGAUACGGGAAAAUGAAGCGAGAGCCGUUAUCCACUACAGAUAUCUCUUCCGCCCUUUGGAAAGACCUCGCGUCCUCACCGUUGUCUGUUCCAGACGGUGUGGCCCCUUCGGCACACCGCGACGUCCAUCACCGGCCGCGCGGGCUCAGAUUCCCCAACCGCCCGCCAUCGUACGAUCCCCCGAGAAGAUGACGGCAGCGACGCCUACUCCGACGUCCAGAAGAGCCUCAACCGGAGGAAGUGCGAGGCUCGGCCGCGACGUCCCCUGGGGCAUGGAACUCGCUUCCUUUUCCCAUCCCAGAUCCAAGCGCUGGGGACAAAGAAAUGCGUCUUGGAGGCGGCGCGAUUCUGAGCUUUCACGGGCUUCGUGGAUAUAAUGAUGUUCGAUAAAGUAGCACUGUAGAAUUAUCCUUUCUUUUAAAAGGGGAAUUGGGGAGUGGCUUCUCUGGAGUCAAGCGGCGUUGGACGCUCAGAUGCUUGCGAAGAUACUGGGACCGGAUGUUUGAGAAGGAAAGCGAAGGCAGUUCAAUUUCAUUGGGAAGUUGCUGUGAGAAGUUGAACCCGAGUUAAUGGAUGCUUAAAUUGAGGCUACAAAAGAUGGUGACCACAGUAGGCUGCGAGCUUUAUCUGUAUCCGAGGUGUGGUUUGGCAAAGAUGAUGAUGAAGGAGAAGAAGAUUUCUAGCAAGAACAAGAGGAGGAGGAGUGUCGUGGGUAUUCAAGCAUAGCAAGCAGGUGGUUUGAUGGUUUAAUCGGUAAAGACAUUCAAUUGGCCAAUGAAGUUUUCUCCAUUCAUACCAUUGAUUUUGACUGGCAAGAGUUGUGAAAGCUUGUAUGGAGAGUACAGUCGACUCAAGAAAAGCCAGUCAAAAAUGAGAGAGAAGCUAGCAUAGCGCUCCUAAGGGCGCAGAAGUCCUCUGCUUGUUUCCUCCGAAGCCAUGCGAGGCAAUUAUGUUGUAGCAAUACAUGAUUACCCAGCUGAUACUCACCUCUUGUACUAAUCUAUUUUGCAACAUUUACAUUUUCUUUUUCCAGGGUCCGGUUGAAUCGUUCUACGGUUCAGGAUUGUAUGAACCGCGUGCCAGGUGGAUAAUGGGGUGCUAAUUUUAAUUUGGUGCCGGGUUCAAUCCUGCGCAAUGGCUCAAAAGAGAAUAGUUAUGCCGCUAAACGUUAUUUACUUGCCUUUACCUUUCCAUUGCCUGCUAAUUUCAUCAAUUCCGGAGAGUUAUAAAAGGAGCAAAAUAAUGCAAAUUGUCUGAUAGAAAAAAGAAAAAAAGGGAGGUUAAGCUC